GAGGUGUUGUCUAGGGUUUCACUACGACACUACCUCGAAGGUUUAUUAUAGGGAGAAGUUGUAGGGAGAAGUUGGGCCGAGUGGAACGAAUGAGGCUGUAGAGGCUUAUUAUAGGGAGAGGGGUCUGGCCCAGUGGAACGAAUGGGAGGGAAAAAUAUUCAUGGAGGGGUGUGUGUGUGUGGGGGGGGGGGUCCAAAUAUUCCUUUAACUGAUAAAAUUGGAGAUAGCUAAUUUUUUUGGCCUAACUGAUCCAAACAAGGGAACAUGAGAAUUGAUUGAUAAAUUCUUGGAAUCGGCCACAUGAUACCCGUCAAUUUCUCAACCAAAGAUCAUUUCUCAAUCAGAAAACAAAAGAUUGUCUACUACUCCAUCCGUUUCAAAAUGCAAGUAGUUUUGAAUUUUCUAUACAGAUAGGUCCUGCUAUGCACCUAAAUAUAGAGUUAUACCUAGAUAAAUAACAUCUAUAGCCUUGACCGGAGCUUGGAGAUCCCUUGCAACUGUAGCAGCCGCCAUGGGAGUUGGAGGUGUUGUCUAGGGUUUCACUACGACACUACCUGGAAGGCUUAUUAUAGGGAGAAAUUGUAGGGAGAAGUUGGGCCGAGUGGAAGGAAUGAGGCUGUAGAGGCUUAUUAUAGGGAGAGGGGUCUGGCCCAGUGGAACGAAUGGGAGGGAAAAAUGUUCACGGAGGGGUGUGUGUGGGGGGGGUCCAAAUAUUUCUUUAACUGAUCAAAUAGGAGAUAGCUAAUUUUUUUAGCCUAACUGAUCCAAACAAGGGAACAUGAGAAUUGAUUGAUAAAUUCUUGGAAUCGGCCACAUGAUACCCGUCAAUUUCUCAACCAAAGAUCAUUUCUCAAUAAGAAAACCAAAGCUUGUCUACUACUCUAUCCGUUUCAAAAUGCAAGUAGUUUUGAAUUUUCUAUACAGAUAGGUCCUCCUAUGCACCUAAAUAUAGAGUUAUACCUAGAUAAUUAACAUCUAUAGCCUUAACCAGAGCUUGGAGACCCCUUGCAACUGUAGCAGCCGCUAUGGAAGUUGGAGGUGUUUUCUAGGGUUUCACUACGACACUACCUGGAAGGCUUAUUAUAGGGAGAAGUUGUAGGGAGAAGUUGGGCCGAUUGGAACGAAUGAGGCUGUAGAGGCUUAUUAUAGGGAGAGGGGUCUGGCCCAGUGGAACGAAUGGGAGGGGAAAAUGUUUAUGGAGGGGUGUGUGUGUGUGGGGGGGGGUCCAAAUAUUCCUUUAACUGAUCAAAUAGGAGAUAGCUAAUUUUUUUAGCCUAACUAAUCCAAACAAGGGAACAUGAGAAUUGAUUGAUAAAUUCUUGGAAUCGGCCACAUGAUACCCGUCAAUUUCUCAACCAAAGAUCAUUUCUCAAUCAGAAAACCAAAGCUUGUCUACUACUCCAUCCGUUUCAAAAUGCAAGUAGUUUUGAAUUUUCUAUACAGAUAGGUCCUGCUAUGCACCUAAAUAUAGAGUUAUACCUAGAUUAAUAACAUCUAUAGCCUUGACCAGAGCUUGGAGACCCCUUGCAACUGUAGCAGCCGCCAUGGGAGUUGGAGGUGUUGUCUACGGUUUCACUACGACACUACCUGGAAGGCUUAUUAUAGGGAGAAGUUGUAGGGAGAAGUUGGGCCGAGUGGAACGAAUGAGGUUGUAGAGGCUUAUUAUAGGGAGAGGGGUCUGGCCCAGUGGAACGAAUGGGAGGGAAAAAUGUUCAUGGAGGGGUGUGUGGGGGGGGUCCAAAUAUUUCUUUAACUGAUCAAAUAGGAGAUAGCUAAUUUUUUUGGCUAACUGAUCCAAACAAGGGAACAUGAGAUUUGAUUGAUAAAUUCUUGGAAUCGGCCACAUGAUACCCGUCAAUUUCUCAACCAAAGAUUAUUUCUCAAUCAGAAAACAAAAGAUUGUCUACUACUCCAUCCGUUUCAAAAUGCAAGUAGUUUUGAAUUUUCUAUACAGAUAGGUCCUGCUAUGCACCUAAAUAUAGAGUUAUACCUAGAUAAAUAACAUCUAUAGCCUUGACCGGAGCUUGGAGAUCCCUUGCAACUGUAGCAGCCGCCAUGGGAGUUGGAGGUGUUGUCUAGGGUUUCACUACGACACUACCUGGAAGGCUUAUUAUAGGGAGAAGUUGUAGGGAGAAGUUGGGCCGAGUGGAACGAAUGAGGCUGUAGAGGCUUAUUAUAGGGAGAGGGGUCUGGCCCAGUGGAACGAAUGGGAGGGAAAAAUGUUCAUGGAGGGGUGUGUGGGGGGGGUCCAAAUAUUUCUUUAACUGAUCAAAUAGGAGAUAGCUAAUUUUUUUAGCCUAACUGAUCCAAACAAGGGAACAUGAGAAUUGAUUGAUAAAUUCUUGGAAUCGGCCACAUGAUACUCGUCAAUUUCUCAACCAAAGAUCAUUUCUCAAUCAGAAAACCAAAGCUUGUCUACUACUCCAUCCGUUUCAAAAUGCAAGUAGUUUUGAAUUUUCUAUACAGAUAGGUCCUGCUAUGCACCUAAAUAUAGAGUUAUACCUAGAUAAAUAACAUCUAUAGCCUUAACCAGAGCUUGGAGACCCCUUGCAACUGUAGCAGCCGCCAUGGGAGUUGGAGGUGUUGUCUAGGGUUUCACUACGAUACUACCUGGAAGGCUUAUUAUUGGGAGAAGUUGUAGGGAGAAGUUGGGCCGAGUGGAACGAAUGAGGCUGGAGAGGCUUAUUAUAGGGAGAGGGGUCUGGCCCAGUGGAACGAAUGGGAGGGGAAAAUGUUUAUGGAGGGGUGUGUGUGUGGGGGGGGGGUCCAAAUAUUCGUUUAACUGAUCAAAUAGGAGAUAGCUAAUUUUUUUAGCCUAACUGAUCCAAACAAGGGAAAAUGAGAAUUGAUUGAUAAAUUCUUGGAAUUGGUCACAUGAUACCCGUCAAUUUCUCUAACCAAAGAUCAUUUCUCAAUCAGAAAACCAAAGCUUGUCUACUACUCCAUCCGUUUCAAAAUGCAAGUAGUUUUGAAUUUUCUAUACAGAUAGGUCCUGCUAUGCACCUAAAUAUAGAGUUAUACCUAGAUAAAUAACAUCUAUAGCCUUGACCAGAGCUUGGAGACCCCUUGAAACUGUAGCAGCCGCCAUGGGAGUUGGAGGUGUUGUCUAGGGUUUCACUACGACACUACCUGAAAGGCUUAUUAUAGGGAGAAGUUGUAGGGAGAAGUUGGGCCGAGUGGAACGAAUGAGGCUGUAGAGGCUUAUUAUAGGGACAGGGGUCUGGCCCAGUGGAACGAAUGGGAGGGAAAAAUGUUCAUGGAGGGGUGUGUGGGGGGGGUCCAAAUAUUUCUUUAACUGAUCAAAUAGGAGAUAGCUAAUUUUUUUAGCCUAACUGAUCCAAACAAGGGAACAUGAGAAUUGAUUGAUAAAUUCUUGGAAUCGGCCACAUGAUACCCGUCAAUUUCUCAACCAAAGAUCAUUUCUCAAUCAGAAAACCAAAGCUUGUCUACUACUCCAUCCGUUUCAAAAUGCAAGUAGUUUUGAAUUUUCUAUACAGAUAGGUCCUGCCUAUGCACCUAAAUAUAGAGUUAUACCUAGAUAAAUAACAUCUAUAGCCUUAACCAGCAGCUUGGAGACCCCUUGCAACUGUAGCAGCCGCCAUGGGAGUUGGAUGUGUUGUCUAGGGUUUCACUACGACACUACCUGGAAGGCUUAUUAUAGGGAGAAGUUGUAGGGAGAAGGUUGGCCGAUUGGAACGAAUGAGGCUGUAGAGGCUUAUUAUAGGGAGAGGGGUCUGGCCCAGUGGAACGAAUGGGAGGGAAAAAUAGUUCAUGGAGGGGUGUGUGUGUGGGGGGGGGGGUCCAAAUAUUCCUUUAACUGAUAAAAUAGGAGAUAGCUAAUUUUUUUAGCCUAACUGAUCCAAACAAGGCGAACAUGAGAAUUGAUUGAUAAAUUCUUGGAAUCGGCCACAUGAUACCCGUCAAUUUCUCAACCAAAGAUCAUUUCUCAAUCAGAAAACCAAAGAUUGUCUACUACUCCAUCCGUUUCAAAAUGCAAGUAGUUUUAAAUUUUCUAUACAGAUAGGUCCUGCUAUGCACCUAAAUAUAGAGUUAUACCUAGAUAAAUAACAUCUAUAGCCUUGACCAGAGCUUGGAGAUCCCUUGCAACUGUAGCAGCCGCCAUGGGAGUUGGAGGUGUUGUCUAGGGUUUCACUACGACACUACCUGGAAGGCUUAUUAUAGGGAGAAGUUGUAGGGAGAAGGUUGGGCCAAGUGGAACGAAUGAGGCUGUAGAGGCUUAUUAUAGGGAGAGGGGUCUGGCCCAGUGGAACGAAUGGGAGGGAAAAAUGUUCAUGGAGGGGUGUGUGUGGGGGGGGGUCCAAAUAUUCCUUUAACUGAUCAAAUAGGAGAUAGCUAAUUUUUUAGCCUAACUGAUCCAAACAAGGGAACAUGAGAAUUGAUUGAUAAAUUCUUGGAAUCGGCCACAUGAUACCCGUCAAUUUCUCAACCAAAGAUCAUUUCUCAAUCAGAAAACCAAAGCUUGUCUACUACUCCAUCCGUUUCAAAAUGCAAGUAGUUUUGAAUUUUCUAUACAGAUAGGUCCUGCUAUGCACCUAAAUAUAGAGUUAUACCUAGAUAAAUAACAUCUAUAGCCUUGACCAGAGCUUGGAGACCCCUUGCAACUGUAGCAGCCGCCAUGGGAGUUGGAGGUGUUGUCUAGGGUUUCACUACGACACUACCUGGAAGGCUUAUUAUAGGGAGAAGUUGUAGGGAGAAGUUGGGCUGAGUGGAACGAAUGAGGCUGUAGAGGCUUAUUAUAGGGAGAGGGGUCUGGCCCAGUGGAACGAAUGGGAGGGCAAAAAUGUUCAUGGAGGGUGUGUGUUGGGGGGGGUUCCAAAUAUUCCUUUAACUGAUCAAAUAGGAGAUAGCUAAUUUUUUUAGCCUAACUGAUCCAAACAAGGGAACAUGAGAAUUGAUUGAUAAAUUCUUGGAAUCGGCCACAUGAUACCCGUCAAUUUCUCAACCAAAGAUCAUUUCUCAAUCAGAAAACCAAAGGUUGUCUACUACUCCAUCCGUUUCAAAAUGCAAGUAGUUUUGAAUUUUCUAUACAGAUAGGUCCUGCUAUGCACCUAAAUAUAGAGUUAUACCUAGAUAAAUAACAUCUAUAGCCUUGACCAGAGCUUGGAGACCCCUUGCAACUGUAGCAGCCGCCAUGGGAGUUGGAGGUGUUGUCUAGGGUUUCACUACGACACUACCUGGAAGGCUUAUUAUAGGGAGAAGUUGUAGGGAGAAGUUGGGCUGAGUGGAACGAAUGAGGCUGUAGAGGCUUAUUAUAGGGAGAGGGGUCUGGCCCAGUGGAACGAAUGGGAGGCAAAAAUGUUCAUGGAGGGGUGUGUGUGGGGGGGGGGUCCAAAUAUUCCUUUAACUGAUCAAAUAGGAGAUAGCUAAUUUUUUAGCCUAACUGAUCCAAACAAGGGAACAUGAGCAUUGAUUGAUAAAUUCUUGGAAUCGGCCACAUGAUACCCGUCAACCAAAGAUCAUUUCUCAAUCAGAAAACCAAAGCUUGUCUACUACUCUAUCCGUUUCAAAAUGCAAGUAGUUUUGAAUUUUCUAUACAGAUAGGUCCUGCUAUGCACCUAAAUAUAGAGGUAUACCUAGAUAAAUAACAUCUAUAGCCUUAACCAGAGCUUGGAGACCCCUUGCAACUGUAGCAGCCGCCAUGGGAGUUGGAUGUGUUGUCUAGGGUUUCACUACGACACUACCUGGAAGGCUUAUUAUAGAGAGAUGUUGUAGGGAGAAGGUUGGCCAAUUGGACCGAAUGAGGCUGUAGAGGCUUAUUAUAGGGAGAGGGGUCUGGCCCAGUGGAACGAAUGGGAGGGAAAAAUGUUCAUGGAGGGGUGUGUGUGGGGGGGGGGGGGUCCAAAUAUUCCUUUAACUGAUCAAAUAGGAGAUAGCUAAUUUUUUUAGCCUAACUAAUCCAAACAAGGGAACAUGAGAAUUGAUUGAUAAAUUCUUGGAAUCGGCCACAUGAUACCCGUCAAUUUCUCAACCAAAGAUCAUUUCUCAAUCAGAAAACCAAAGCUUGUCUACUACUCCAUCCGUUUCAAAAUGCAAGUAGUUUUGAAUUUUCUAUACAGAUAGGUCCUGCUAUGCACCUAAAUAUAGAGUUAUACCUAGAUAAAUAACAUCUAUAGCCUUGACCAGAGCUUGGAGACCCCUUGCAACUGUAGCAGCCGCCAUGGGAGUUGGAGGUGUUGUCUAGGGUUUCACUACGACACUACCUGGAAGGCUUAUUAUAGGGAGAAGUUGUAGGGAGAAGUUGGGCCGAGUGGAACGAAUGAGGCUUUAGAGGCUUAUUAUAGGGAGAGGGGUCUGGCCCAGUGGAACGAAUGGGAGGCAAAAAUGUUCAUGGAGGGGUGUGUGGGGGGGGGGUCCAAAUAUUCCUUUAACUGAUCAAAUAGGAGAUAGCUAAUUUUUUAGCCUAACUGAUCCAAACAAGGGAACAUGAGAAUUGAUUGAUAAAUUCUUGGAAUCGGCCACAUGAUACCCGUCAAUUUCUCAACCAAAGAUCAUUUCUCAAUCAGAAAACCAAAGCUUGUCUACUACUCUAUCCGUUUCAAAAUGCAAGUAGUUUUGAAUUUUCUAUACAGAUAGGUCCUGCUAUGCACCUAAAUAUAGAGGUAUACCUAGAUAAAUAACAUCUAUAGCCUUAACCAGAGCUUGGAGACCCCUUGCAACUGUAGCAGCCGCCAUGGGAGUUGGAUGUGUUGUCUAGGGUUUCACUACGACACUACCUGGAAGGCUUAUUAUAGAGAGAUGUUGUAGGGAGAAGGUUGGCCAAUUGGACCGAAUGAGGCUGUAGAGGCUUAUUAUAGGGAGAGGGGUCUGGCCCAGUGGAACGAAUGGGAGGGAAAAAUGUUCAUGGAGGGGUGUGUGUGGGGGGGGGUCCAAAUAUUCCUUUAACUGAUCAAAUAGGAGAUAGCUAAUUUUUUUAGCCUAACUAAUCCAAACAAGGGAACAUGAGAAUUGAUUGAUAAAUUCUUGGAAUCAGCCACAUGAUACCCGUCAAUUUCUCAACCAAAGAUCAUUUCUCAAUCAGAAAACCAAAGCUUGUCUACUAAUCCAUCCGUUUCAAAAUGCAAGUAGUUUUGAAUUUUCUAUACAGAUAGGUCCUGCUAUGCACCUAAAUAUAGAGUUAUACCUAGAUAAAUAACAUCUAUAGCCUUGACCAGAGCUUGGAGACCCCUUGCAACUGUAGCAGCCGCCAUGGGAGUUGGAGGUGUUGUCUAGGGUUUCACUACGACACUACCUGGAAGGCUUAUUAUAGGGAGAAGUUGUAGGGAGAAGUUGGGCCGAGUGGAACGAAUGAGGCUUUAGAGGCUUAUUAUAGGGAGAGGGGUCUGGCCCAGUGGAACGAAUGGGAGGCAAAAAUGUUCAUGGAGGGGUGUGGGGGGGGGGGGUCCAAAUAUUCCUUUAACUGAUCAAAUAGGAGAUAGCUAAUUUUUUAGCCUAACUGAUCCAAACAAGGGAACAUGAGAAUUGAUUGAUAAAUUCUUGGAAUCGGCCACAUGAUACCCGUCAAUUUCUCAACCAAAGAUCAUUUCUCAAUCAGAAAACCAAAGCUUGUCUACUACUCCAUCCGUUUCAAAAUGCAUGUAGUUUUGAAUUUUCUAUACAGAUAGGUCCUGCUAUGCACCUAAAUAUAGAGUUAUACCUAGAUAAAUAACAUCUAUAGCCUUAACCAGAGCUUGGAGACCCCUUGCAACUGUAGCAGCCGCCAUGGGAGUUGGAUGUGUUGUCUAGGGUUUCACUACGACACUACCUGGAAGGCUUAUUAUAGAGAGAUGUUGUAGGGAGAAGGUUGGCCAAUUGGAACGAAUGAGGCUGUAGAGGCUUAUUAUAGGGAGAGGGGUCUGGCCCAGUGGAACGAAUGGGAGGGAAAAAUGUUCAUGGAGGGGUGUGUGUGGGGGGGGUCCAAAUAUUCCUUUAACUGAUCAAAUAGGAGAUAGCUAAUUUUUUUAGCCUAACUGAUCCAAACAAGGGAACAUGAGAAUUGAUUGAUAAAUUCUUGGAAUCGGCCACAUGAUACCCGUCAAUUUCUCAACCAAAGAUCAUUUCUCAAUCAGAAA
rnacentral:lncRNA from 1 species